UUUUAUUUUCAUAUAGAGAAAAUGUAGUAUCAUGGUAAAGUAAGAGAAUCACUGACAUCAAAUCCAUUUUAUCUUAUCUUACUUAAAGACAAAAUAAAAUCUCUAUAAUCACUGCAAAAGUGUACUGACAUCAUUCCUAUAACUAACUUUAUUUAACUUAGCACAUGAACAAAAAUAGUCAUGUGUUACUUAAUGAUGGGAUACAUUUUGAGACGUGCUGGUAGGUGAUUUUGUCAUUGUGGAAACACUAAAGUGUGUACUUAUAUAAACCUAGAUGGCAUGGUCUACUACACACUGAGGCUAUAUAGUGCCUAGUGCUCCUAGGCUGCAAACCUGUAUAGCAUGUUUUGAAUACUGCAGGCAAAUGUAACCUAAGGGUAAGCAUUUGUGUAUCUAAAUAUAUCUAAAAAUAGAAAAGGUACAGUAAAAAGGUUAUUUAUAAUUAUAUUGGACCACUGUUGUAUAUGUGGUCCAUCCAUUAUUGACCAAAAUAACACAUUGUUAUGCAGUACAUGACUGUACCAUUACUCAAAUGUGUUGUUCUGAUACGUGUAAGGAAAAAAAUUAAGAUUUUAAAUUUCUUAAAAUUAUUUUAUUUCCUGAAAAUAUAUACAAAGUCCCCUUUCAAAAAGGUAACUUACUGGUACCAUAUUUAAUUGUUCUAAAAAAAAAAAAA